AUUGAACGCUGGCGGCAGGCCUAACACAUGCAAGUCGAACGAGUGGCGGACGGGUGAGUAAUGUCUGGGAAACUGCCCGCUGGAGGGGGAUAACUACUGGAAACGGUAGCUAAUACCGCAUACCAUCGGAUGUGCCCAGAUGGGAUUAGCUAGUAGGUGGGGUAACGGCACACCUAGGCGACGAUCCCUAGCUGGUCUGAGAGGAUGACCAGCCACAAUGGAACUGAGACACGGUACAGACUCCUAGGGGAGGCAGGAAUGGGGAAUAUUGCACAAUUGGCGCAAGCCUGAUGCAGCCAUGCCGAGGGUCUGAAGAAGGCCUUAGAGUAGUAAAGUACUUUCAGCGAGGAGGCGUUACUCGCAGAAAAAGCACCGGCUAACUCCGUACCAGCAGCCGCGGUAAUUC
rnacentral:rRNA from 1 species